rfam:Ovis aries breed Texel chromosome 3, whole genome shotgun sequence.
UCCCUGGUGGCUCAGAUGGUAAAGAAUCUGCCUGCUGUGCAGGAGACCCAGGUUUGAACUCUUGGUUGGGGAG